GACGAACGCUGGCGGCGUGCUUAACACAUGCAAGUCGAACGGAAAGGCCCUGCUUUUGUGGGGUGCUCGAGUGGCGAACGGGUGAGUAACACGUGAGUAACCUGCCCUUGACUUUGGGAUAACUUCAGGAAACUGGGGCUAAUACCGGAUAGGAGCUCCUGCUGCAUGGUGGGGGUUGGAAAGUUUCGGCGGGUGGGGAUGGACUCGCGGCUUAUCAGCUUGUUGGUGGGGUAGUGGCUUACCAAGGCUUUGACGGGUAGCCGGCCUGAGAGGGUGACCGGCCACAUGGGUACUGAGAGACGGCCCAGACUCCUACGGGAGGCAGCAGUGGCGAAUAUUGCACAAUGGGCGGAAGCCUGAUGCAGCAACGCCGCGUGCGGGAUGACGGCCUUCGGGUUGUAAACCGCUUUCGCCUGUGACGAAGCGUGAGUGACGGUAAUGGGUAAAGAAGCACCGGCUAACUACGUG
rnacentral:rRNA from 1 species